rnacentral:rRNA from 1 species
ACGAACGCUGGCGGCGUGCCUCACCCCUGCCAGUCGAACGGAACUGUUUUGAAAGAUUUCUUCGGAAUGAAUUUGAUUUAGUUUAGUGGCGGACGGGUGAGUAACGCGUGAGUAACCUGCCUUCAAGAGGGGAAUAACAUUCUGAAAAGAAUGCUAAUACCGCAUGACAUAUCGGAACCACAUGGUUUUGAUAUCAAAGAUUUUAUCGCUUGAAGAUGGACUCGCGUCCGAUUAGUUAGUUGGUGAGGUAACGGCUCACCAAGACCGCGAUCGGUAGCCGGACUGAGAGGUUGAACGGCCACAUUGGGACUGAGACACGGCCCAGACUCCUACGGGAGGCAGCAGUGGGGGAUAUUGCGCAAUGGGGGCAACCCUGACGCAGCAACGCCGCGUGAAGGAUGAAGGUUUUCGGAUUGUAAACUUCUUUUAUUAAGGACGAAAAAUGACGGUACUUAAUGAAUAAGCUCCGGCUAACUACGUG